rnacentral:lncRNA from 12 species
CACAUUACCUUCAGUGUCAGAAAUAUUUAUGAUUAGGUUAAAAAACACAUUUCAAAACCUUCUGGUUAAACAUCUCAUCUAGAUCAGAAAAAUGACCUUUUAUCGAUCAGCAGUUAAUUGACUUUUGUCUUUCUAUCAAAUCAACAACACUGAUGACCUUUUGGAGAAAAAGAAAACUGUCAAGCAUAUCCUUGAAGUCCUUGAAAAAUACAUUUUUUAAAAGUAAUCUGCUUUGGUAAGGCAAACCCCAGUAAAACUCUAAAGUUAACAGAAGCAUUGAUUUUACUACAUAUUUCCUCAAUUCUUGAAAUCUUUUUAUGUUCUUGUAAGCAAGCAUGUUAUAUUAUUAUCCCUUCUUAAAACCUAGGAAAUUAACAGUUUGGUAUGCUUCAACACCUGAAAUUAAGUUGUGUAUCAUCAGACGAUUAUUACCUACUGACUUUCAGCAAAGUAAUUGUUUAUUUCUUACUGCUUAUCCAAUAAUUAUAGUGUUAGUAAGACUUUUAAAAUUUGGCUUUUUUCAAUUCUUCAUCUUCCAAAGAAAAAGAUACAUUUUUAAAAUAAAAUGACUCACUGGAUCUAUAUUGUCAAAAUCUUUAUAGAUAAUUUUUUGUUCACAGAUCAUUGACCCAAUAAACUGGAGUAAUUACAUUCAUUGGAGUCUAUUAGAUGCCAGACAUGUGUGGUAAUGACUCAAUUCAGCUCUCAAAGUGAAGGCACAAAUGGUCAGUCGACUUGUAAAGAUCAAUUAUAUGGUGGGCUGAAGCAAACAUGUCAACUGAAGGUAAUGACCUUGCUUGCAAAGCUGAUGAUGGAGUUUGUGAAGAAGAGUCAUGAGUCAGCAAAGAAGUUGAUAUUAAAAACAAGCCUUAUAUGGUUGAAUAAAUUCAUGAGUUGUGUCAUGGUCUAUAACAAAAAUGGCAAAGGGAACAACAUAGUUGACAUUGAAGUAAUUUGUAUAUAACUGUCUCAUUUUGUAAAACUGUAUUGAUGGAUGAGAACCAAUCAAUGAA